UUAAAAUUUUUCUAUUUCGAAACUCGCAUUAGUAUGUAAAUGAGGAAUAAUUAUAGGAGUUGGCAGUAAAGCGAGUAAACAGACACGGUCUCCAGUCAUGCUCGAUUCUCGUAACUGCUCGUAACACACGCUCGAGCGUAGGGAAUGCGGAACCGCAUCCGCUUGGGGCUUAUGUUAGACAGUUCAUAUACGGAAGUGUCAAUCGAAUCUGUAGACACGGUCGCCUUGACCGCGGCUGACGUCGCGGUUCAAUGUCGGUGUAACGCGACUUUUUUUAUUAUUAUUACUAAUAUUGCUGCGCGGUUGCAUAAUUUCACGGAUAGGAACAAGGAACUGGCAAACAACAGGAGGAAGAAAAAGAAACAACAUGAUGGACAUUGAGAAGUGCGUGGAAAUUGCAGGUAUAAGCGUGCAGCAAACUUUGAGAGGAAUUAUCGAUGAUAACAUGUUGUUAAUUCUUUAAAUCAGUGAUGGCCCCUGUUGUGCUGAUAAGAAUUCUUCAUCAAGUUGACUAGCCGUGAUGAGAUAUAACCACUGACGCAAAUAGAAAGCAAAAAGCAGAAUAUGCGUAUCGAAUAAGAAAAUGUACUACUAUAUAUCAUAGGUCAGUUUUUUAUUUAGAAUUAAAUUUUUAUAUACAUCAACAGAUUUAGUGGAUUUAAUAAAUUUUCAAUAAUCAACGUUCCUGCCAAAUGAGUGCAAACAAUGAAAACAAUAUUUAACGAACGAAUGUCUCUAUAACGAUGAAAAAGACUGCUGUUUUGAUGUAAGUCACGACAUUAAGGAAUGCUGAUACGAUACUUUAGGGUAGGAGAGAAGAUUGAAACACAAGACAUGUGCAUAAUCUCACGUUACAGAUGAGGUGUAUCUAUUAUUAAAUGUAUAAUAAAUUUUUCUUGAAGGCAUAAGACGAAACACAGAAAAUAUUAAGAAUAAUGAUACAACUAUAAAUAUCAUGCCUACAAAUUCUUUCUGUGAUACGACUAAUUCAAUACUUUGAUUUUUCAUUUUUCGUCUGUUUCCAUUUUUUUUUUUUUUUUUUUUUUUUUUGCAAUUUCUGUUACGUCGCGUCUCGACAUUACCGUAUCCUUAUAAUUCUAUACCUUUCUAGUCUCUCCUACGCUGAUUUUCUUUGUUUCGAUAACGUUAGAGAUCAAUAAGAAUUCGAAAACUGUUUAUUCUUAUGGAAUUAAAUAAAUAAGCAGCUUGCAUAAAUGUCUAAAUAGAUAUUCCCAGUGGAACGCAAUUGCGAAAUACGCAACAUUUUCCCCGUUGAUUCAUACUCUGCUCGUUGUUACUAUUUAUACGAGAUGAGUCAAUAACAGGAACACAAAGAAAGGAUAUUUUCACUUGGUAAAAUGAAUAAAAGUGAUAAAGAAGCAACAUUUUCGUGGGAAAUUGUAAUAAUUAUAAUAAAUACAUUUUAUGUACCUAGUAAAAGAAAGAAUCUAGCUCGAACCUUGUGUCACAUAUUCUAGGAUAUAUGUAUUAUCUAUGCAUGCCUAUAAAAAUAGGAAAAAAAAAUAUUUCUGAUAGAUUAAAUGGGGAAAAAGUUAGAUUAAUUGCAGUCUAUGCAAGAAUAUACGUAUGUAAUAAUAGAGUGAUAAUACAGAACAGUCGAUAUGUGGAAAUU